AUUGAACGCUGGCGGCAUGCUUUACACAUGCAAGUCGAACGGUAGCAGGUCUUCGGAUGCUGACGAGUGGCGAACGGGUGAGUAAUGCAUCGGAACGUGCCCAGUCGUGGGGGAUAACGCAGCGAAAGCUGUGCUAAUACCGCAUACGAUCUAUGGAUGAAAGCGGGGGACCGUAAGGCCUCGCGCGAUUGGAGCGGCCGAUGUCAGAUUAGGUAGUUGGGGGGGUAAAGGCCUACCAAGCCGACGAUCUGUAGCUGGUCUGAGAGGACGACCAGCCACACGGGGACUGAGACAGGGCCCAGACUCCUACGGGAGGCAGCAGUGGGGAAUUUUGGACAAUGGGCGCAAGCCUGAUCCAGCAAUGCCGCGUGCAGGAAGAAGGCCUUCGGGUUGUAAACUGCUUUUGUACGGAACGAAACGGUCCGGGUUAAUACCCUGGGCUAAUGACGGUACCGUAAGAAUAAGCACCGGCUAACUACGUGCCAGCAGCCGCCGUAACAC
rnacentral:rRNA from 1 species